CAGUCGCCGCGGGAAUACAGAGGGUGCGAGCGUUAAUCGGAUUUACUGGGCGUAAAGCGUGCGUAGGCGGCUAAUUGAGUCGGAUGUGAAAUCCCCGAGCUUAACUUGGGAAUUGCAUUCGAUACUGGUUAGCUAGAGUGUGGGAGAGGAUGGUAGAAUUCCAGGUGUAGCGGUGUAAUGCGUAGAGAUCUGGAGGAAUACCGAUGGCGAAGGCAGCCAUCUGGCCUAACACUGACGCUGAGGUACGAAAGCAUGGGGAGCAAACAGGAUUAGAUACCCGGGUAGUCCCUGUCUCUUAUAC
rnacentral:rRNA from 1 species